UACAGAGGGGGCAAGCGUUAUUCGGAAUUAUUGGGCGUAAAGGGCGCGUAGGCGGCCUGGCAAGUGACGGGUGAAAGCCCUCGGCUCAACCGAGGAACUGCCUGUCAUACUGCCGGGCUUGAGUCCGGGAGAGGUGAGUGGAAUUCCUGGUGUAGCGGUGAAAUUCGUAGAUAUCAGGAGGAACACCGAUGGCGAAGGCAGCUCACUGGGACGGUACUGACGCUGAGGCGCGAAAGCGUGGGGAGCAAACAGG
rnacentral:rRNA from 1 species